GAAAAGWUUUCUGGUGCGUGGCCUCUUGACUAGACAAGGCACAAGUUUGGUAUCCAUGCCAGAGUUGUUAUUACCAGUUGCUUAGGCAGUUGUCCAAAAGCAGAGUGUGAUUUCUUAGCAGUCAGUGAGUGGCUGUACUCUUUCACACGGUCAUUUUACUGCUGGAAUCAAGCUUUUUAGGUGUAAAACACUUAGAAAUGGAGUGAAUAUGGUGUGAAUGUUUUAGAAAGGAGAUAUCAAAACAGCUUCCUUUACAGUUCAAUUUGUUACCUAUUUUACAGUUACYGUUUACAAAAGCUGUUUCAAGUUCACAGCUCUGUUAGCUCUUCAGUGCAGUAGAAAAUGAAAAAAGGGAACAAGAUCUCUCUACAGUUGCUCUCCACCGUGUGAAUGAGUGAAUAGGAAGUAUUCUUCAGCCCUUUUCUCCUUCAGAAUUCUUUCUAUGAUGAAGAAAACAUUAAGAGUCAUCAACAGCAUCAGAAAACAYUAAGAGUCAUCAACAGCGUAGUGYCUGGAAGGGCAAGGUAGGUAGGUGCGUAAAAAGGUUCCU